rnacentral:rRNA from 1 species
ACUUAAAUUGAAGAGUUUGAUCAUGGCUCAGAUUGAACGCUGGCGGCAGGCCUAACACAUGCAAGUCGAGCGGUAACACAGAGAGCUUGCUCUCGGGUGACGAGCGGCGGACGGGUGAGUAAUGUCUGGGAAACUGCCUGAUGGAGGGGGAUAACUACUGGAAACGGUAGCUAAUACCGCAUAACGUCGCAAGA